GGGAAUGUGGCUUAGUGGUAGAGUGCUUGUCUAGCAUGCAUGAAGCCCUGGGUUCAAUUCCUCAGUACCA
rfam:Dipodomys ordii contig_20914, whole genome shotgun sequence.